AUUUAAGGUUCAAUUACCUCAACAAAGCUUUGAUCCAUGAUAUAACUUCCCUCAACAGUAAGAAUUUUCAUGUCAAUGUCUUGGGAUGCAAUGACAUUACCUUUAAAAGCUUCACAAUUACUGCACCUGCAACUAGCCUCAAUACAGAUGGAAUUCAUAUUGGACGAUCAAAAGGCGUUAAUGUUAUUGACUCAAAGAUUGGCACCGGUGAUGAUUGCAUCUCCAUUGGUGAUGGUAGCCAACAAGUACAUAUCACAAAUGUAAAAUGUGGACCAGGCCAUGGCAUUAGCAUUGGAAGUCUAGGGAGGUAUCCUAAUGAAGAGCCUGUGUCUGGAAUCUUCGUUCAACAUUGUAC
rnacentral:lncRNA from 1 species